CAAUGUAUCUGUUCUUGUUUUGUUUUUUUUUAUACAUGUACCAUGUCUAUAGUAUUGUUUGUCCUAAUUUCUAAAAGUUUCCUCAGUAUUUCUUGUGUGAGUGCUUCAGAAUUUUUAUCCAUUUCUUGAUGCUUCUGAAUUAAACCAUUUGCUUGUUGUUUGAAAAUUUUACGUAUAUUUAACAAUGCUGGCAAUAUAUGCAUUAAUGAUUAUCAAACAAAUGUGCAAAAAACAGUGCCACAUGUUCUCCUAGUGCAUUUACUCUCAAUAUUUUGUGAUUUAAAAAUAAAUGUCGUGGAUCUUGCCUGAUGAGCAAUCAGCAAGAUCAUCAGUCUAUAACUUGGAAUAAUUAAAAUAAUUCCCCACCGUUUACUGUGAUAAUUAUUACAUUAAAUGUAUGUUUCAAAUCUGUUAUAAGUUUUUCUUAUUCCUUAAGUGUAAUGACAUUAACAAAAGAAUAUUUUUCAUCCCACUUCCAAUUUUUUUUUUUUAUACAGUUUUGGCUUCUCUGCAAAUGAUCAGUUUUGUAGCAUGUGUACGGGUGCAUUGAUUUUUCAUUUUAUUUUUUCAUAAGAAGUACUGUAUGUAUACCAAUGUCAUGGGAAAUUCAACAGUAAACAUGGUUUUGUUUCCAUGAAUACAUUCAAAAAUGGUAGUGAACAAAAAUUGAAACUAGGGGAAAAAACAGUGAGCUGCGAGUGUACAAGUAGCAUGAUUAGCUCCUGUGUGUUGGUGAGUGUUAACUACACAUAUGUAGUGUGACAUAGUCUGUUGAUUGAAUAUUUUACAUGUAUGUGGGAAUGAAGCAUGGUUUGGACGAGUGGAUGCAUUGAUAAGAAUUUUCCACAUGAAAUAAAUUUAUUUCUUAAUUU
rnacentral:sRNA from 1 species